rnacentral:rRNA from 1 species
GACGAACGCUGGCGGCGUGCCUAAUACAUGCAAGUAGAACGCACAGUUUAUACCGUAGCUUGCUACACCAUAGACUGUGAGUUGCGAACGGGUGAGUAACGCGUAGGUAACCUGCCUGGUAGCGGGGGAUAACUAUUGGAAACGAUAGCUAAUACCGCAUAAUAUUAAUUAUUGCAUGAUAAUUAAUUGAAAGGUGCAAUUGCACCACUACCAGAUGGACCUGCGUUGUAUUAGCUAGUAGGUGAGGUAACGGCUCACCUAGGCGACGAUACAUAGCCGACCUGAGAGGGUGAUCGGCCACACUGGGACUGAGACACGGCCCAGACUCCUACGGGAGGCAGCAGUAGGGAAUCUUCGGCAAUGGACGAAAGUCUGACCGAGCAACGCCGCGUGAGUGAAGAAGGUUUUCGGAUCGUAAAGCUCUGUUGUAAGAGAAGAACGGGUGUGAGAGUGGAAAGUUCACACUGUGACGUUAUCUUACCAGAAAGGGACGGCUAACUACGUG